CCGCCCUUGUGAGCUUGUCUGUCGGUGCAUUUGUCCCUUCAUUAUUUGGCUGUUGUGCCUGAUCGUGUUAUGAGUGCUUGCGUGCUGCUACCGGUCAUACUGGAAGUUGCAUUCGACACAGGUUGCGUUCGUCGUUCACGCCCUAGGGCGCUGCACGUCGACAAGAAAGCAUUCAUAGCGUUGCCUCGUGUAGCUAGCCGCAUUGGCUGCCUUCACCAAGGACACCUUGUGGAUGCCGUUGGUCUUGGAUGUGGCUUACUAAAGAGGUUUGAUGGUGCUUCGGCGCCUCGUGCCUACCAAAGAUUGUCCAAUCGGAAAGACGACAGCAGGCCUAGCUGAUGCCUUGUGUGGGAGGCUUGAGC
rnacentral:misc_RNA from 1 species